rnacentral:rRNA from 1 species
UACGGAGGAUCCGAGCGUUAUCCGGAUUUAUUGGGUUUAAAGGGUGCGCAGGCGGAAGAUUAAGUCGGUGGUGAAAUUUUGUAGCUCAACUGUAAAAGUGCCAUUGAUACUGGUUUUCUUGAGUGUGGAUGAAGUAGGCGGAAUUUGUGGUGUAGCGGUGAAAUGCAUAGAUAUCACGAGGAACUCCGAUUGCGCAGGCAGCUUACUAAACCAUAACUGACGCUCAGGCACGAAGGCGUGGGGAUCAGACAGGAUUAGAUA